ACGGAAGGCAGCAGUGAGGAAUAUUGGUCAAUGGACGGAAGUCUGAACCAGCCAAGUCGCGUGAAGGAUGAAGGUAUUAUGUAUUGUAAACUUCUUUAGCAGUGGAGUAAUAAGGGGAUCGUGAUCCCUGACGCAAGUACACUGAGAAUAAGGAUCGGCUAACUCCGUGCCAGCAGCCGCGGUAAUACGGAGGAUCCGAGCGUUAUCCGGAUUUAUUGGGUUUAAAGGGUGCGCAGGCGGCUUUUUAAGUCAGUGGUUAAAUCGUGACGCUCAACGUCAUCACGCCAUUGAUACUGGAGAGCUUGAUUGCGGUCGAGGUUUGCGGAAUUCGUUGUGUAGCGGUGAAAUGCAUAGAUAUGACGAAGAACACCGAUUGCGUAGGCAGCAGACCAGGCCGUAAAUGACGCUCAUGCACGAAAGUGCGGGGAUCGAACAGGAUUAGAUACCCUGGUA
rnacentral:rRNA from 1 species